rnacentral:rRNA from 1 species
GAGCGGCAGACGGGUGAGUAACGCGUGGGAACGUACCCUUUACUACGGAACAACUCCGGGAAACUGGAGCUAAUACCGUAUGUGCCCUUUGGGGGAAAGAUUUAUCGGUAAAGGAUCGGCCCGCGUUGGAUUAGCUAGUUGGUGGGGUAAAGGCCUACCAAGGCGACGAUCCAUAGCUGGUCUGAGAGGAUGAUCAGCCACAUUGGGACUGAGACACGGCCCAAACUCCUACGGGAGGCAGCAGUGGGGAAUAUUGGACAAUGGGCGCAAGCCUGAUCCAGCCAUGCCGCGUGAAUGAUGAAGGCCUUAGGGUUGUAAAGUUCUUUCACCGGAGAAGAUAAUGACGGUAUCCGGAGAAGAAGCCCCGGCUAACUUCGUGCCAGCAGCCGCGGUAAUACGAAGGGGGCUAGCGUUGUUCGGAAUUACUGGGCGUAAAGCGCACGUAGGCGGACAUUUAAGUCAGGGGUGAAAUCCCAGAGCUCAACUCUGGAACUGCCUUUGAUACUGGGUGUCUUGAGUGUGGAAGAGGUCAGUGGAAUUGCGAGUGUAGAGGUGAAAUUCGUAGAUAUUCGCAGGAACACCAGUGGCGAAGGCGGCUGACUGGUC